GAUAAACGCUGGCGGCGUGCCUAACACAUGCAAGUCGAACGCCCUGUCGCAAGGCAGGGAGUGGCGGACGGGUGAGUAACACGUGGGUACCUGCCCUCAAGUGAGGAAUACCGGCGAGAAAUCGCCGACAAUACCGCAUAGGCUCCCUCCCCCCGCUUCCAAGCGGGAGGGGGGGAGCAAAGCCGGGCUUAGCCGGGCGCUUGAGGAGGGGCUCGCGGCCGAUUAGCUAGUUGGUGAGGUAAGAGCUCACCAAGGCGACGAUCGGUAGCUGGUCUGA
rnacentral:rRNA from 1 species